ACGGGGGUGCGAGCGUUGUCCGGAAUCACUGGGCGUAAAGGGCGCGUAGGUGGUUUGAUAAGGGUGUGGUGAAAGCCCCGGGCUCAACCCCGGGUCUGCCGUGCCGACUGUCAAACUCGAGGACUGUAGAGGCAGACGGAAUUCCGGGUGUAGCGGUGGAAUGCGUAGAUAUCAGGAGGAAUACCGGUGGUGUAGACGGCUCUCUGGACCGUAACUGACGCUGAGACACGAAAGCGUGGGUAGCAAACAGGA
rnacentral:rRNA from 1 species